rnacentral:lncRNA from 1 species
CACAGGGAGUGCCCUUGGCUCCGCUUGCUCCUGAGAAGUCUCCUUUGAGAAUUGUGUGAUUUCACACCAUGCAAAGGGAAUGCAACUUCAUUGUUUCUGAGAACAAGAGACCAAUAAGGAGGGUCACCAGCAGCCAACCUCACAGGUACUGUCCCUGCUAGCAUCAUUUGGAGUAGAUGCUACUCCUCAGAAUAUGGACCAGGAAAGCACGCGUGUAAAUAUAGCAGCAGAACAGGGAACCCAGGAACCUAGCAGUGGGUAUCAUCUUGCACGCGCCCCCUGUUUUCAAAAGCUAAGUGCACAUGCUGUGUAUUGAUUAGUUACCUAUGCUGAAAUACUGUUCCCCAUUGGUGUUUCUGAAAGAUAUUGACACUUCCUCAGCAUCGCUCCAUUACUAAAGACAGAAAACACUAAUAAAAAAAGAACUAUAAACAUGUG